CACGUAGGGCGCAAGCGUUGUCCGGAAUUAUUGGGCGUAAGGAGCUCGUAGGCGGUCUGUUACGUCUGCUGUGAAAACCCGGGGCUUAACCCUGGGCUUGCAGUGGAUACGGGCAGACUAGAGGCAGGUAGGGGAGAAUGGAAUUCCCGGUGUAGCGGUGAAAUGCGUAGAUAUCAAGAGGAACACCAGUGGCGAAGGCGAGUCCCUGGACAAACCCUGACACUGAGGCACGAAAGCCAAGGGAGCAAACAGG
rnacentral:rRNA from 1 species